CAAGGCGACGAUCCCUAGCUGGUCUGAGAGGAUGACCAGCCACACUGGAACUGAGACACGGUCCAGACUCCUACGGGAGGCAGCAGUGGGGAAUAUUGCACAAUGGGCGCAAGCCUGAUGCAGCCAUGCCGCGUGUAUGAAGAAGGCCUUCGGGUUGUAAAGUACUUUCAGCGGGGAGGAAGGGAGUAAGGUUAAUAACCUUAUUCAUUGACGUUACCCGCAGAAGAAGCACCGGCUAACUCCGUGCCAGCAGCCGCGGUAAUACGGAGGGUGCAAGCGUUAAUCGGAAUUACUGGGCGUAAAGCGCACGCAGGCGGUCUGUCAAGUCGGAUGUGAAAUCCCCGGGCUCAACCUGGGAACUGCAUUCGAAACUGGCAGGCUUGAGUCUUGUAGAGGGGGGUAGAAUUCCAGGUGUAGCGGUGAAAUGCGUAGAGAUCUGGAGGAAUACCGGUGGCGAAGGCGGCCCCCUGGACAAAGACUGACGCUCAGGUGCGAAAGCGUGGG
rnacentral:rRNA from 1 species